rnacentral:lncRNA from 1 species
GGGGUCACAGAGGGGUGUGGGGUCACAAUGGGGCACAGUUAUGGGGUCACGGGUGUGGGGUCGCAGGGGCACAGUUAUGGGGUGGCAGUGGGUUAUGGAGUGGAUAUGGGGUGAUAGGGAGGCAGUUAUGGGGUCACAAGGGGAUAUGGGGUGGAUAUGGGGUGGAUAUGGGGUGACAGGAGGCAGUUAUGGGGUCACAGUCGGGUUGUGGGGUCACAAUGGGGUCAGCAGGGCGGUUAUGGGGUGACAAUGGGGUAUGGGGUGGAUAUGGGGUGUGGGGUGACAAUGGGGCGUGGUUAUGGGGUCACAGAGGGGGUGUGGGGUCACAGGGGGGCAGUUGUGGGGUCACAACGGGUUGUGGGGUGACGAGGGGUGACAGUUAUGGGGUGACAGUGGGGUUAUGGGGUGGCAGUUAUGGGGUGAGAGUUAUGGGGUGAUGUGUGGGGUUAUGGGGUGAUAUAUGGGGUUAUGGGGUGAGAGUUACGGGGUGACACUUAUGGGGUGUCAGUUAUGGGGUUGUUGCUGUUGUAAUGGGGUUGCUGUUGUCGUUAUGGGGUGGUUGUGGGGUUGUUGUUGUGGGGUUGUUGUUGUGGGGUUGUUGUUGUGGGGUGGCUGUAGUUACGGGGUUGUUGUGGGGUUGUAGUUACGGGGCU